GACGAACGCUGGCGGCGUGCUUAACACAUGCAAGUCGAACGGAAAGGCCCUGCUUUUGUGGGGUGCUCGAGUGGCGAACGGGUGAGUAACACGUGAGUAACCUGCCCUUGACUUUGGGAUAACUUCAGGAAACUGGGGCUAAUACCGGAUAGGAGCUCCUGCUGCAUGGUGGGGGUUGGAAAGUUUCGGCGGUUGGGGAUGGACUCGCCGCUUAUCAGCUUGUUGGUGGGGUAGUGGCUUACCAAGGCUUUGACGGGUAGCCGGCCUGAGAGGGUGACCGGCCACAUUGGGACUGAGAUACGGCCCAGACUCCUACGGGAGGCAGCAGUGGGGAAUAUUGCACAAUGGGCGGAAGCCUGAUGCAGCAACGCCGCGUGCGGGAUGACGGCCUUCGUGUUGUAAACCGCUUUCGCCUGUGACGAAGCGUGAGUGACGGUAAUGGGUAAAGAAGCACCGGCUAACUACGUG
rnacentral:rRNA from 1 species